rnacentral:lncRNA from 1 species
CUUGACUGCAUACCAUAGGACAGCACCAGGAGACUCCUGUCCCCAUAACCAUUACAGCAGGCUAUAGUUGCUAUGGUGUUUACACUAUCCCUUUGAAGUAAUGAUUAUAAGAUGCCCAAAACAGAUAAUAAAAAUGUCAUACACUUUACAACCCAGAACAGACCUCCAAACCCGUCUUAGUUUGUGGCAAUUACUUGAUUGUCGCCAUUGUAACAUAAUUUAUGGUUAUUUACAGUAGGCUAACAUUUUAUUUGAAAUUCAAUGAAUGAAAUGCUAUCCAAAUUUAGAAGAUAAAAUUCUAAACUGAUCCAGAUUAGUUCCUAAUUAAACCAUCUAUGCCCUGUAGAAAAUGAUCAGAAUUGGUCUAACAUUUAGGCAGAUUAGCUCAAAAGUUGAUUCCUAAAUUAUUUUUGGAAACACAUUAAUAUGACUCUUCACAAUCUCUUACCCUGAUCCCAGCUCCCAGGAGAGAAAUGGUGGCCUUUUAUUGGGACGUGUGGAAGAAGAGGCACAGUGAAUCCUCCAGUCCUGUAGUCUAACGACUAUUGUACUUAGCAAAAGAUAAUAGUUCUAGACUCCAUCCUAUUCCCAAACAGAACGUGAGUUAGAGUGAAGUUAUAUUUAACUCAACAGGUGUGCACACUUGUACAUGCCCAGUUGCUUCUUUGUAAACACAGGCUUAGCCCCAAGCAACAUAAUGCCCAUAGCCAAUCACCAAAUUAAGUGCCAAGUGACGUGUAGAUUGCCCACUACAUAAAUUAAAUGGCAGUGCUUACUUACCCCAAAGUUAAUUCCCUCUACAUUAAAGAGACUCUUUGGAGCCUGCAUACACAGACUUCAACAGCCAUGACCACUUCAGUGAUUUGAAGUGGUCACAGGGGUAGGAGUCUAUAUGAGAACAGUUUAACCUCUUGAGGUAGGAGUGCCUCCAGGGGCCUCCUGGCAACAUAUCAACUUCAUUUAGAUUAAGUUGUUUUGGUGCUUGGAGUGUUAACCUGCCACCCACAAAACACGUGACCGUGUAACAAGUUUACAUCUAAGCUACAUACUGUGCAGGCAAAAUCAUUGCCAAAAGUAUGUUGGUUUGUUUUUUAAUAAUAAUAUGUAAAUUGUCAGACUACUGAAGUACAGUAUAUUUCAAAAAUCUGAAACUCUGAUUUGUAAGCCAAAUGGCAAAAUGUAGUCCAAAAAAAGUGAUUUGUUAAAGAUCUCCACAACUUUUCUGUUUAAAUUUUGUCAUUUGGAUAUCCAUUUCCUAUAAUUUAGAGUUUGGGUAAUAAUCCUCUUUACUGAACAAGCAGGACAAGGUUAUUCAAUAAAUUGUUAUAUGUAGGUUAUUCACCAUGAAUCUAAAAUUGCAGGCCAACACAGCCACACUGAAAACAUUGCAUACUUUUUUUGCAAUGUGGCUAUUUUAGAUCAAAAUUCAAUUUGAGUCCCUGACAAUAAACAGUUUAACUAAAGACAUAUGACACAUUUCAAACACUUCUUUUCACUAAACUCUGCUGAUGUUUCUGUUAAUAUUUUUGUAUGAAUAUGUUUGCUGGUGUUAAUGUGUUUUUAAUCCUGAUGUAAACUAAUUAAAAUUCAAUUUUAUUUUUUAGGGGAUGAAGUUUUUAAUAUACUGUGGAGCUUUGUGGGACAGAGUUUGUUAAAUGUCCUGAGAGCUUAAGGGAACUCGUAAGGAUAAUACGUAUACUGAUAGCAGCAAAGUAUAUGAGAGCCAGAAAUUGGAACUAUCCCAAAUUGGGACGGGUUCCGAGAACAAACCAUCCAUGUUAGAUGGAACUGGGCUGCGUAAGAGUAGUGAAUUGAAGAUCAUAGAAGGUAGUAGAUAGAGACUGGACCCCAGUUUGAAGUAAUAUAAAGAUUGGAAAUCCAAAUUCUUUGCAGUCAUAUCUCCGUGUGCGUCUCUCAGGGUGAUUACAUUGAUUUAAGUUGUAAGAAAUUAGGCAAUGUAUGAUUUAUAUGUAUAUUUAUUGUCUGUAUCUGUCUUUUUCAUUUACAUCUUUUGUAAUCUAUAUUUAUUGAUAUAAUAAAGUUGUUGUGUUUUUAAAAAAGGAAAAAGUGAACAAAAUAUAUUUAUUUUCAUUUAUUUAAACCGUGAGUUGUAGUGAAUUAAACUGAAGUGCAAAGUUGAAGCUAGAACACCCAGC